ACCACCUCAGAAAACUGCACGGGCAUCGUGUUUCUUGCACUAGUAUAAACAACACUAAUAAUACAGUAGUUGGGACUGUUCACACGACAGGAUAAAAUUAUUGUUGGGAUUAUGGUUUCACUUUAUAUUUUGGUGGUUUUACCAAGUUUUGUUCUGACAAUUAAUUUGGACCAACACCGUAAUAAGAGACAAAGCGGUGGUGGAGAUUUUGUUUAUCCUUUUGGUUUAAACCGAAGAGCAAUUCGAAUUGGACCAGCCAGAUUGGCUAAUCAUCUAAAUUAUGUGUGCAGAGUAGCCAAGAAACUAGAAAAUGCUCAACUGGGAAGUAAUAUGGAGAAAGUGUUCAGUGGUUUAAUAGAUGCAUGUACAAAGUAUGACCCAAUUAAAAAACAAUUAAGUGCUAGACUAAGAAAACAUAUCUGUACGAAACUCGCUCCCUAUAAACCAUCCUCCACGAGUUCGCCUGUCAAGCGAUCACAUCCAGCAGAGAACCCGAAUAGAAUCAAGAGAAGACGUCUAGUAAAGGCUUUACUUGAAUAUUUGAAAUAAUUUACCCCAGCCUAAUAAAUUUAGUUUGGUUACAAAA